CGAGCCCUCCGCCUGGUUUCCCCCUUCUCGGCCUACUCCACCGGUUGCUUCGCCUAGCCCUCCAGUGUCCCCACCAGACCUCGAGGGCUGGCAAAAGCCCACCAAGGUGGCCCCCCAAGCUGGCAAAAGCCCACCAAGGAGGAAACACGGAGCUCCCCUGCCAGAUAUUGUCCAGUUCGUAAGCCCGCACGUGCGCACACGCGCCGCUCAGACCCCUCUUCGGGUUUGUUUUCCACCCAAAAUGCGUCUGCAGGAUUUGGAGACACUCGCCUUAUAUGCCCAGGCUCUGGAACGAAUCUUUCUGAUGUGGGACUAUUGGGCCUCACACCCUUUCCACCAUCG
rnacentral:lncRNA from 1 species